CCUACGGGAGGCAGCAGUGAGGAAUAUUGGUCAAUGGACGAGAGUCUGAACCAGCCAAGUCGCGUGAAGGAUGAAUGCCCUAUGGGUUGUAAACUUCUUUUAUAUGGGAAUAAAAUCUUCCACGUGUGGGCUUUUGUAUGUACCCUAUGAAUAAGGAUCGGCUAACUCCGUGCCAGCAGCCGCGGUCAUAAGGAGGAUCCGAGCGUUAUCCGGAUUUAUUGGGUUUAAAGGGUGCGUAGGUGGUUUGUGAAGUCAGUUGUGAAAGUUUGGGGCUCAACCGUAACAUUGCAGUUGAAACUGGCAGUCUUGAGUGCAGGAGAGGUAGGCGGAAUGCGUGGUGUAGCGGUGAAAUGCUUAGAUAUCACGAAGAACUCCGAUUGCGAAGGCAGUUCACUGGACUGCAACUGACGCUGAGGCACGAAAGUGUGGGUAUCGAACAGGAUUAGAUACCCCAGUAGUC
rnacentral:rRNA from 1 species